UACAGAGGUCUCAAGCGUUGUUCGGAUUCAUUGGCGUAAAGGGUGCGUAGGCGGCGCGGUAAGUCGGGUGUGAAAUCUCGGAGCUUAACUCCGAAACUGCAUUCGAUACUGCCGUGCUUGAGGACUGGAGAGGAGACUGGAAUUUACGGCGUAGCGGUGAAAUGCGUAGAUAUCGUAAGGAAGACCAGUGGCGAAGGCGGGU
rnacentral:rRNA from 1 species